AACUUUUGACAAUGGAUCUCUUGGCUCUCGCAUCGAUGAAGAACACAGCGAAAUGCGAUAAGUAAUGUGAAUUGCAGAAUCCAGUGAAUCAUCGAAUCUUUGAACGCAUCUUGCGCUCCUUUGCAUUUCAAGGAGCAUGGCUGUUUUAGUGUCGUUAAACUAUCAAAACACUUUUCUUGGGUGUUUUGGACUUUGGGUGCAUCUUGCUGGUCUGUUUGAGCCAGCUCUCCUCAAAAGCAUUCGCUUAGGAGACCAUCAGCGUUAUAAUUUGUUUACGCUGAUUUGAGUGUCUCCGCUUCUCCUUUUCAAUUUCACCCCUUUGGCCUCAAAUCAAGUAGGACUACCCGCCGAACUUAAGCAUAUCAAUAAGCGGAGGCU
rnacentral:misc_RNA from 1 species